ensembl:lncRNA
GGCAAGAAUACUGGAGCAGUUUGCUCUGCCCUCCUCCAGGGGAUCUUCCCGACCCAGGGAUGGAACCUGUGUCUCUUAUGUCUUCUGCAUUGGCAGAUAGGCCAAGAGUCACACUGUCCUAGGAAAGGAGAAGUUAGAGUGGACUCAGAGGUAAUCCAAGGAAAGUUCCUAUAAGACAGGAACAGAAAAUAGAAGAAGAAAACAUCAGCGAGAGGUCAGAUGCUAAAGCCCUGACUUCCCCUACCCAGCUUUGCUUCACAUUGGCACCGUAAGGGCUGUGAAGAAAAAAAAAAAAAACCUCCAGAAUGUUUGGGAGAAAGAAAACCAGAGACAUUUGUACCCCAGUCUGAAUUUGAGAUUUGAAAGGAGGUUGCCUACUCGAGUAUGCCGUGUCAACAAGCAGUCUGACAGCCGCACAGAGGAAGACAAAAGGGAAGUUACACAGAAUAAAG